GGGCCGGUAGAUCAGUCUGGUAGAUCGCCCGCUUCGCGAGCGGGAGGUCGCGGGUUCAAGUCCCGCCCGGUCCACCA
rnacentral:tRNA from 1 species